AAGUAAAAGUCGUAACAAGGUCUCCGUUGGUGAACCAGCGGAGGGAUCAUUACUGAGUUACCGCUCUAUAACCCUUUGUGAACAUACCUACAACUGUUGCUUCGGCGGGUAGGCCGUCCCCUGAAAAGGACGCCUCCCGGCCCGGACCGGACCCCCCGCGGGACCGGACCCGGCGCCCGCCGGAGGAUAACCAAACUCUAUUGUAACGACGUUUCUUCUGAGUGGCAUAAGCAAAAUAAUCAAAACUUUUAACAACGGAUCUCUUGGUUCUGGCAUCGAUGAAGAACGCAGCGAAAUGCGAUAAGUAAUGUGAAUUGCAGAAUUCAGUGAAUCAUCGAAUCUUUGAACGCACAUUGCGCCCGCCAGCAUUCUGGCGGGCAUGCCUGUUCGAGCGUCAUUUCAACCCUCAAGCUCUGCUUGGUGUUGGGGCUCUACGGUCGACGUAGGCCCUCAAAGGUAGUGGCGGACCCUCCCGGAGCCUCCUUUGCGUAGUAACAUUUCGUCUCGCACUGGGAUCCGGAGGGACUCUUGCCGUAAAACCCCCCAAUUUUCCAAAGGUUGACCUCGGAUCAGGUAGGAAUACCCGCUGAACUUAAGCAUAUCA
rnacentral:rRNA from 1 species